GACGAACGCUGGCGGCGUGCUUAACACAUGCAAGUCGAACGAAGUGGCGAACGGGUGAGUAAUACGUGGGUAACCUGCCCUCCUUUUUGGGAUAAGCCUUGGAAACGGGGUCUAAUACCGAAUAAAGGGGGAUGGGCUCGCGGCCUAUAAGCAUGUUGGUGGGGUGAUGGCGUACGAGGGCGGUGGCGGGUAGCCGGCCUGGGAGGGUGACCGGCCACAGUGGGUGUGAGGUACGGCCCAGACUGCGACGGGGGGCAGCCGCGGGGGAUAGGGAACAAUGGGCGAAAGUCGGAUACGGCGGAGCGGCGGGGGGGAUGAAGGCUUUCGGGUUGUGAACCUCUUUGGGUAUCGAAGCGGUAGGUGAAGAAGAAGCGCCGGCUAACUACGUGCCAGCCGCCGCGGUAAUUC
rnacentral:rRNA from 1 species